UGGGGAAUUUUGGUCAAUGGGCGAAAGCCUGAACCAGCAACGCCGCGUGGGUGAUGAAGGCCUUCGGGUUGUAAAGCCCUGUCGGAGGGGACGAAACCCUGCGUUAACAACGCGGGCUGACGGUACCCUCAAAGGAAGCACCGGCUAACUCUGU
rnacentral:rRNA from 1 species